AUACGGAGGGGGUUAGCGUCGUUCGGAAUUACUGGGCGUAAAGCGCACGUAGGCGGACUGGACAGUUGGGGGUGAAAUCCCGGGGCUCAACCCCGGAACUGCCUCCAAAACUUCCAAUCUAGAGAUCGAGAGAGGUGAGUGGAAUUCCAAGUGUAGAGGUGAAAUUCGUAGAUAUUUGGAGGAACACCAGUGGCGAAGGCGGCUCACUGGCUCGAUACUGACGCUGAGGUGCGAAAGCGUGGGGAGCAAACAGGAUUAGAAACCCUAGUAGUCC
rnacentral:rRNA from 1 species